rnacentral:tRNA from 1 species
GAGAAAGUCAUAAUGGUUAUGCGGCUGGCUUGAAACCAGUCUUAGGCGGUUCGAUUCCUUCCUUUCUUG